rnacentral:rRNA from 1 species
AUUGAACGCUGGCGGUAUGCCUUACACAUGCAAGUCGAACGGUAGAGGGGCAACCCUCGAGAGUGGCGAACGGGUGAGUAAUACAUCGGAACGUGCCCAGUCGUGGGGGAUAACGUAGCGAAAGCUACGCUAAUACCGCAUACGACCCGAGGGUGAAAGCGGGGGACCUGCAAGGGCCUCGCGCGAUUGGAGCGGCCGAUGGCAGAUUAGGGAGUUGGUGGGGUAAAGGCCGACCAAGCCUGCGAUCUGUAGCUGGGCUGAGAGGACGACCGGCCACACUGGGACUGAGAGACGGCCCAGACGCCUACGGGAGGCAGCAGUGGGGAAUUUUGGACAAUGGGCGAAAGCCUGAUCCAGCCAUACCGCGUGCGGGAAGAAGGCCUUCGGGUUGUAAACCGCUUUUGUCAGGGAAGAAAUCUUCCGGGUUAAUACCUCGGGGGGAUGACGGUACCUGAAGAAUAAGCACCGGCUAACUACGUGCCAGCCGCCGCGGUAACAC